GGGGCUGUGGCAUAGUGGGUAAAGCUGCUGCCUGCAGCGCCAGCAUCCCACAUGGGUGCGGAUUCAAAUCCCGGCUGCUCCA
rnacentral:tRNA from 1 species